AUUCUUUUGCAGUGGUGAUAUCAUAGCCUAUGAAGUCCAUCUGAGGCCUGAUUAUUGCUGGUUGAAAACUUAACCCAAUACCCCGCUUUGGGGCGACUUGAAAUAUAGUCUUACCUGGCAAUUUUUGAUAGUCUUAUGUGAGA
rnacentral:snRNA from 8 species